rnacentral:rRNA from 1 species
GACGAACGCUGGCGGCGUGCUUAACACAUGCAAGUCGAACGGAAAGGCCCUGCUUUUGUGGGGUGCUCGAGUGGCGAACGGGUGAGUAACACGUGAGUAACCUGCCCUUGACUUUGGGAUAACUUCAGGAAACUGGGGCUAAUACCGGAUAGGAGCUCCUGCUGCAUGGUGGGGGUUGGAAGGUUUCGGCGGUUGGGGAUGGACUCGCGGCUUAUCAGCUUGUUGGUGGGGUAGUGGCUUACCAAGGCUUUGACGGGUAGCCGGCCUGAGAGGGUGACCGGCCACAUUGGGACUGAGAUACGGCCCAGACUCCUACGGGAGGCAGCAGGGGGGAGUAUUGCACAAUGGGCGGAAGCCUGAGGCAGCAACGCCGCGUGCGGGAUGACGGCCUUCGGGUGGUAAACCGCUUUCGCCUGUGACGAAGCGUGAGUGACGGUAAUGGGUAAAGAAGCACCGGCUAACUACGUG